rnacentral:sRNA from 1 species
UCCGUAGGUGAACCUGCGGAGGGAUCAUUAUAAGUUCACCCAGGCUUGUACAGCUGGGGACUGACAACCCUUUGAUUUCCGACUCUGUUGCCUCCGGGGCGACCCUGCCUUCGGGCGGGGGCUCCGGGUGGACACUUCAAACUCUUGCGUAACUUUGCAGUCUGAGUAAACUUAAUUAAUAAAUUAAAACUUUUAACAAUGGAUCUCUUGGUUCUGGCAUCGAUGAAGAACGCAGCGAAAUGCGAUAAGUAAUGUGAAUUGUAGAAUUCAGUGAAUCAUCGAAUCUUUGAACGCACAUUGCGCCCCCUGGUAUUCCGGGGGGCAUGCCUGUUCGAGCGUCAUUUCAACCAUCAAGCCCCAGGCUUGUGUUGGGGACCUGCGGCUGCCGCAGGCCCUGAAAACCAGUGGCGGGCUCGUUGUCACACCGGGCGUAGUAGAUUUUAUCUCGCUCAGGGCGUGCUGCGGGUUCCGGCCGUUAAAAGCCUUUUUUACCCAAGGUUGACCUCGGAUCAGGUAGGAAUACCCGCUGAACUUAAGCAUAUCAAUAAGCGGAGGA